rnacentral:rRNA from 1 species
CAGUAGCCGCGGGAAUACGAAGGGGGCUAGCGUUGUUCGGAAUUACUGGGCGUAAAGCUCACGUAGGCGGAUAUUUAAGUCAAGGGUGAAAUCCCAGAGCUCAACUCUGGAACUGCCUUUGAUACUGGGUAUCUUGAGUAUGGAAGAGGUGAGUGGAAUUCCGGGUGUAGAGGUGAAAUUCGUAGAUAUUCGGAGGAACACCAGUGGCGAAGGCGGCUCACUGGUCCAUUACUGACGCUGAGGUGCGAAAGCGUGGGGAGCAAACAGGAUUAGAUACCCCGGUAGUCCCUGUCUCUUAUAA